rnacentral:lncRNA from 1 species
UAAGGCCAGAAGGAGCAAUCAGGGAGUGUGCUUUUUCUAACAUGUAGCAUGUUGGCCAAUACUGGGGAUUUCUGAAAGUAGACACAGAAAAAACCUGUGGCUGGAGCUGGAUGGGCAACGGCACGACUACAGUCUGCUGUCUGGUUUGGAYGGAGAUGGGAACGUAUAACACAGGCUCACAAAGUUUCAUCCGCUGAGAGAGAUCUCCGGAGAAGUYGCCUUAUCUUUUGGCUGCGGGCUCUGCUGCUGCUCUGCAAACACACAGCGCAGAAURCUGAUGUGCUGCCUCCCCUACACCUGCUGCGUCGGCCUUCAUUUGUACACCGGGCCAUUUCAUAGACCGGAAGUGGUGGCAGCUGUGAAGGCCACUUGAUCAUUUGGGUCUGAGC